AAGAUAUAAUUUAGAACUAAAUGAUUUUACUUUGAAACAGUUUAUGAGUAAUUAUGAGAAGAAUAAUCAUCAGCUCAUUAUUCUUCUCAAAAAGGAUUAAUUUCAGAUAAAAAUCAUUAGUUUUACAAGAAUGUGAUAAGAAUAUAAUGAAAAAUAUUAAAAUGCCCAUAAAAUACAAACGAGGAUCAAUACACAAAAGGCCUAAAAAAUGAUAUGUUAGGCACUCAAGUUAAGAUACCAGAGACAACAAACUUAUAUUCCCAAUAUCAUUUUCAAAAUAUACCAAAAAAUUUAGGCCCUCAGUCAAAAACUAUUCCAGCUACAUUCAAAUUCUCUUCAUCUCAAAAUAUUUCAAAAUAUAUCUUAGGCACUCA